rnacentral:rRNA from 1 species
GUCUUUUAUUGUUUAAUAUUUAAAGGUCUGGCCUGCCCAGUGAUUAAUUUAACGGCCGCAGUAUUUUGACUGUGCUAAGGUAGCAUAAUCAUUAGUUUUUUAAUUGAGGACUGGAAUGAAAGGUUGAAUGGAAAAAUUACUGUCUUCUUAUUUAUUAUUUGAAUUUUACUUUUAAGUAAAAAGGCUUAAAUUUUAUUGAAAGACGAGAAGACCCUUUAGAGUUUUAUAAAGAAUUGAAAUUAGGUUUAUUAGAAUAAAUUAUUUUUUAAUUUUAUAUUUGAUUGGGGUGAUUAUUAAAUUGAAAAAACUUUAAGUUGUUAAAAACAUUGGUUUAUGAAUAAAUGAUCCUUGUAUAAGAUUAUUAGAUUAAAUUACCUAAGGGAUAACAGCGUGAUUUUCUUAGAGAGUCCUUAUCGAUAGGAAAGAUUGCGACCUCGAUGUUGGAUUAAAAUAUGUAGUUAAGUGCAGAUGCUAACUAACUUGGUCUGUUCGACCAAUAAAAUUUUACA